CAAGCAGGUCCUCCCACCUUGCGCUUCCAAAGUGCUGUGAUUCCAGGAUGCAUCUCUCAUGGUUGAAGAAGUGGUGGAGGAUGGCAUAGGAGAGAGUGCCUGAGGAUCCUUGCCUGGAACAAGUUAUGGAAAGAAAAUCUUUCAGCUUGGGCUCUAGGAAAAGAGCCUUUUAUCCCAUCUUGUCUUCUAGUCCAUUUUGAAUCAAGACUCGUUGAGGACUUCUUUGAGAAGAAUCUGUGUUGAAGAAGGAAAAAGAAACACUGUUUGAGAGAAGGCAAACAGGCAAAAAGGAUGAUAGAAGCAUGCAUUUUUGUUGUAUAUAUAACUCUAAGAGACCUUCCUAGAGUGAAAGUUGAGAACUGAAAAGGGAGUAAAUUAAGGAAUGACUGAAUUUUGUGGAUCUUGAUGGAAAAACGCUGGCCUUUUUUUAAUGUGGUAAAACAGCUGGUGCUUCAGUCCUAGGAAUUAUGUCUCUGCCAUGGGCAGUUAUCAUAAACUCUUCUCACAAUCAGAACCGCUCUUUGUCCUCUGUGAAUGAUGGCACUUUUGCUUCUAUUUCAUUAAUGCUUCCAAGGAUGAAUGAAAAUAUAUAGCAUCUGCCAAAACCUAAAAAUUACAGUUUAUCACUAGGGCUCUGUAAGGUACUUCACUUGCAGUUUAAAAUUAUUUAAUGCUCAAAAACAGUCAUUGUGGGUUUUUGUCACUAAAUAUUAAUUUUUCAAGAUGAAGUAUGAUGAUUUCUAUCCAUUUUUGUGGUCAAUUUUCUCAGUUUUCUUUCCCAUAGAUACUGUGAUGGAACUUAGAUUUUAUUUUUUACACUUAAAUAACUAUGUUUUUAAUGAUACAUAAUCAUAUAAUUUUUUUGUUUUCCUUGAGGUCUUAACAGAUCUUAUAUUAGUGUAUAUGUCAAAAUAAAAAUUUUUACAUAGUUAAUGUGCUGUAGUAUUAAGGAUAUUGAUUUUCUGUUAAAUGUUGAGCUUGGUGUUGAUAUAAACCCUGAUCCUAAAUUGUAAAUUAAUACUUGGAAAUUAAUAAGAGUGUAACUAUGCUAUAUAGAAAGCAUCUUGCGAAUCGGUUUGUGUGGGUGUUUUUUAAAUUUAAUUUUUAUUAAAAAAUUUUUUUUGGUAUGUAAUUAUAUUCUUUCAGGUAACUUUUCUGUGGAAGAUAAGAGGAAGACUUUGUUUUUCAACCUAUAAUUGUUUCAGCUCUCCAGGCUAAUAAUAAUAAUAAUUCUGGGCCGGACACGGUGGCUCAUGCCUCUGUAAUCCCAGCACUUUGGGAGCGGAGGUUGGCGGAUCAUGAAAUCAGGGGUUUGAAAGCAGCCUGGCCAACAUGGUGAAACCCUGUCUCUACUAAAAAUACAAAAAA